UGACGGGUAUCCGUUUUUCGGUUUCAGGAUCCUGGGUUCGAAAUACGAGUGUUGGAUGUUUGUUCUGUCGCGCUGAGGUCGCGGGCUUUAAAGAUGGAGGUGGUGAGACGACACGACAUCCAAGUAAAAGUAUAGACACCGACCGCGACGAGAGGAUCGUCUGAGGGAUGGAAGCAAAAUAGAAUAAUGGUUGAAAGCAAAACUCGUCGAUUUGAUAGUAGUAGUGGUGAUGCUGCUGGCUGAGUAGCGUAGAGUCUACUCGAGAAGCUCCAACAAAAAGUCCAAGAUAGAAAAUAAGAAUAAGAAUAAAAAUAAAUAAAGGAAAUAAGAAGAAUGAAAUGAAAUGUUGAUGGUUGGCGUCGGUCCUCGGUGUAUAGGAAUGUUCUCCGUGGAGCUGGUUCAUCGCCAAGAAACCGGUAAAUUAAUGUUGGCAUUUGGAACAUGAGUAAAGGACCUUCCACGAAGCGAGAAGCGAUCUUCAUUGGUCCUGUUUAUAGCAGCCCACGCAUGCCAGCGAGCGAUAUCUCACCGUGUCUAGUAUAGUGUUUCUACAUGCGGACAGCCGUAAGAGAGAUUAGAUCAAGGACAAUUUUUCAACCUCGCAUGGAAAAAAUAAUGUUUG